UCCAACCGCUGCCCUAUACAAGGAUACAAAUGGGUGAUCCUCUGUAUAUAAAAACCCUAGUUACCAUACCCAUCAUUUUCAGCCUCCUCCAAAACAAAACCCUAGCCACGAUCCCCACCGUGAGCUCUUCCUUUCUUUUCGACGGCGAACAGCAAAGCAUACUCGUCGGCGGUCGCAUUGUGAAUCAUACUCUCACUCACAUCAUGCUGCAACGACUUCAAGAAAUCAUGGCAUCAGUGAUCAAAGUCAGCUCUGCUAUGCAACGCCUGAGGUGGCUUCUGUGCCUUCCCCCUCUCUAUUGAUAGUGAAAGAAGAUUCUGGGGCAUUAUACAUAAGAUUUAAACUUGAUAUGGUGAUACUCCACAUCUCAAUUGAUGGGUUAUAGCAUACUGCACAAAAAAAAUUCAAAGUUUAAUGAACAAAAAGCUGAUAGAGACACUGAAGUGCAAAAGAAGGAGAGUGUUGGCUGCGAGAAAUCAGUGAAGGCAGUAAACGACAUCAAGUCCAUCCUACUCCACCAAUUUGGGCUGAAGGAAAUGGAGGAUAACUGAGCAUUUGGUUCAAAACUUUGCCGACAAAGAAACUAAAUCUUGGAGUCCUGCCCCUCAAAUGAUCUGAGUGUAUGCUAAGAAGACCACCCCAUUAGACCCAUUACUAAUGGGGUAUGACACCUUCGCUUCAUUCCUGCGCAUGCAACUGUUUUGUAAUUAGAUAUACACACAAAUAUAUAACAGAUAAUACAGUAUGACUACUAGUAGCCACCUUUGAAUUUGUUGGCAAAUAUCAGCCCAACAGAUAAUACAGUAUGACUACUAGUAGCCACCUUUGAAUUUGUUGGCAAAUAUCAGUAUUACCUGGGCUGAUAUUUGCCAACAAAUUCAAAGUACUAGUAGCCAUUCUUUAUUACCUGGGCUGAUAUUUGCCAACAAAUUCAAAGUACUAGUAGCCAUUCUGUAUUAUCUGUUAUAUAUGUAAUGAUUACAAAACAGUUGGAUCCGCAGGGAAUGAAGCGAAGGUGUCAUACCCCGUUAGUAAUGGGGUGGUCUUCUCAGCAUACACUCGGAUCAUUUGAGGGACAGGACUCCAAGAGUCUGAGUUUCUUUGUCUGCCAAGUUUUGAACCAAAUGUGCAGUUGUUUCAUAUAUUAAUUUUCAAUUUGAAGUUUGUCCAUAUGUCAUAUACAUGUUAAUGCAGGUGAACACUAUUUUUAGGUGAUCACUAGUUCUAGCAUCAGUUUAUAUGGUCACCAAUUUCGUUUACAUUUGUUUAAAUUCUAUUUUUUUCCCAAAAUUUAUAGGGAUUCAACUAGACGGGGUAUUUUAUAGCUUAAACAACAUAAUAACUGAUCUAAGAGAUGAAAUUGGGCACACUCCUGGAAUAGAAUGCAAUGUAGAUGCAUUUGGUAACACCCAACUUUACCAGAUAUAUAUGUGUGGACACUUCUGGAUCAAACAUUAUAGAGUGCCCUGUUGCUACCUGAUGGGAAGUGUGCUUCAAGGGUUGCGUUCGCUUCCUUCUAGACAUGUAUCAAAGGGCUAGAGGGAUGUCUCUCCAUCAUUUGUUGAUCAAUUUACUUGUAGAAGAUAAGUUUUUUGU